AAUAUGUAGAGGCAGCUUGAGUAAUAAAAGAAAAAAUAUGGAGCAAGCAAGUGAAAGCCAGUAACCUAAUAAAAUGGUAUGACAUCUUAGUCCUAAAAUGGAGAAAUCUGCCCUUGCCUGAAGAUAAAGACAGAAUGUAUAUACAAAUUCAAACGCUAUGAAUCUUCUGAAAAAAUAUCUUUAAUAGCUUAGACCGCCAGGCUCAGCUUCAGUGCAGACUACUUCCCAUCAUUUUGAAGCACCAACAAAAUUACUUUGUCUGAAGAGGCUUGACCUAAUCUGUGUGAGGCUUUGGGAAGAAAGUGAAGCACCCUUAUUUCUCCUGAUAAGAAGAGCAACAUCUUAACAGUGUUCCUGUUGUUGGAUUUUAAGCAAAGAGGGAUGAAAGAAACCUAUUCACAAUCCAUUAAUGUACCUUGGGUAUGAAUAAAAUCUGCAAACCAAAGUGAGUUGAACUUUACC